rnacentral:rRNA from 2 species
CUGUCCGGGCACAUGUGCUUGGUGGCGCAGCUAACGCAUUAAGUUAUCCGCCUGGGGAGUACGGUCGCAAGAUUAAAACUCAAAGGAAUGACGGGGGCCUGCACAAGCGGUGGAGCAUGUGGUUUAAUUCGAAGCAACGCGCAGAACCUUACCAGCCUUUGACAUCCUAGGACGGUUUCUGGAGACAGAUUCUUUCCCUUCGGGGACCUAGUGACAGGUGCUGCAUGGCCGUCGUCAGCUCGUGUCGUGAGAUGUUGGGUUAAGUCCCGCAACGAGCGCAACCCUCGUCCUUAGUUGCCAUCAUUUAGUUGGGCACUUUAAGGAAACUGCCGGUGAUAAGCCGGAGGAAGGUGGGGAUGACGUCAAGUCCUCAUGGCCCUUACAGGCUGGGCUACACACGUGCUACAAUGGCAUCUACAGUGAGCAGCGAUCCCGCGAGGGUUAGCUAAUCUCCAAAAGAUGUCUCAGUUCGGAUUGUUCUCUGCAACU